CUCAAUAAAACUUUUCCUAGGCUGGGUAGCAAAGGGCACCUUUGGUUACCUGAAUGGACAG
ensembl:misc_RNA